rnacentral:tRNA from 1 species
GCCCUUAUGGCCAAGUUGGUAAGGCAUCACACUAGUAAUGUGGGGAUCCCUCAGUUCAAAUCUGAGUGGAGGGCU